rnacentral:rRNA from 1 species
CAGCAGCCACGGGAAUACGUAGGGUGCGAGCGUUAAUCGGAAUUACUGGGCGUAAAGCGUGCGCAGGCGGUUGUGUAAGACAGGUGUGAAAUCCCCGGGCUUAACCUGGGAACUGCGCUUGUGACUGCACAGCUAGAGUAUGGCAGAGGCGAGUGGAAUUUCUGGUGUAGCGGUGAAAUGCGUAGAUAUCAGAAGGAACACCCAUGGCGAAGGCAGCUCGCUGGCCUGUAACUGACGCUGUAGUGCGAAAGCGUGGGGAGCAAACAGGAUUAGAUACCCGUGUAGUCCCUGUCUCUUAUAC